UACGAAGGGGGCUAGCGUUGCUCGGAAUCACUGGGCGUAAAGGGCGCGCAGGCGGCUCAUUUUGUCAGGCGUGAAAGCCCCGGGCUUAACCUGGGAACUGCGUUUGAUACGGAUGGGCUAGAGUUCGGGAGAGGAGAGUGGAAUUCCCAGUGUAGAGGUGAAAUUCGUAGAUAUUGGGAAGAACACCGGUGGCGAAGGCGGCUCUCUGGACCGAGACUGACGCUGAGGCGCGAAAGCCAGGGGAGCAAACGGG
rnacentral:rRNA from 1 species